rnacentral:rRNA from 1 species
CAGCAGCCACGGUAAAACGUAGGUGGCAAGCGUUGUCCGGAAUUAUUGGGCGUAAAGCGCGCGCAGGCGUAUAGGUCAGUCUGUCUUAAAAGUUCGGGGCUUAACCCCGUGAUGGGAUGGAAACUGCCAAUCUAGAGUAUCGGAGAGGAAAGUGGAAUUCCUAGUGUAGCGGUGAAAUGCGUAGAUAUUAGGAAGAACACCAGUGGCGAAGGCGACUUUCUGGACGAAAACUGACGCUGAGGCGCGAAAGCCAGGGGAGCGAACGGGAUUAGAUACCCCCGUAGUCCCUGUCUCUUAUACA